rnacentral:lncRNA from 1 species
UGGCACGCUCCUGUAAUCCCAGCUGCUUGGGAGGCUGAGACACGAGAAUUCCUUGGACCCAGUAGGCAGUGGUUGCAGUGAGCUGGGAUCGCGCCAUUGCACUCCAGCCUGGGCGACAGAGCAAGACUCUGUCUCCAAACAAACAAAAAAAAGACAUGCCAAAUGACAUGGCAGGUAUUGGGUUCUCCCCCACUGGUGAUGGCCAUGCUGUUUCUGUAUAGCCUGAAGGUGAACCCAACCAUUAAGUACAUUUGUAGAAAUGAGGGGUAUGGAGUGUCCUUUCUGCAUCUUGGCACUUUGUCAGCAAAAAAAGCUAACAAACUUUACUAUAUUUGUGCUUCUUGACAGAUAAAAUGGGAAUUACUAAGCUGUAAUCAGGCCUAAAGUGGCCUGACUUAAUACAGAGACUUUCUCACUUCUCCAUCACAAUUAUUUGGGUAGCUUCGGCAUGCAGCAUUCUUUGCAGUUCCUGACCCCUUAAUGCCUGACCCUUCCAAGCAACCAAAGAACCAGCUUAAUCCUAUUGGUUCAUUACAGGAAUUGGCUAUUCAUCAUGGCUGGAGACUUCCUGAAUAUACCCUUUCCCAGGAGGGAGGACCUGCUCAUAAGAGAGAAUAUACUACAAUUUGCAGGCUAGAGUCAUUUAUGGAAACUGGAAAGGGGGCAUCAAAAAAGCAAGCCAAAAGGAAUGCUGCUGAGAAAUUUCUUGCCAAAUUUAGUAAUAUUUCUCCAGAGAACCACAUUUCUUUAACAAAUGUAGUAGGACAUUCUUUAGGAUGUACUUGGCAUUCCUUGA